rnacentral:rRNA from 1 species
AGUAACGUCCCAGUUCGGAUUGUAGUCUGCAACCCGACUACAUGAAGCUGGAAUCGCUAGUAAUCGCGAAUCAGAAUGUCGCGGUGAAUACGUUCCCGGGUCUUGUACACACCGCCCGUCACACCAUGGGAGUCGGAAAUGCCCGAAGUCAGUGACCCAACCGUAAGGAGGGAGCUGCCGAAGGUGGAGCCGGUAACUGGGGUGAAGUCGUAACAAGGUAUC